rnacentral:rRNA from 1 species
GGGACCGCACAAGCGGUGGAUGAUGUGGAUAAUUCGAUGCAACGCGAAAACCUUACCUACCUGACAUGUCCGGAAUCCCGAAGAGAUUUGGGAGUGCUCGCAAGAGAACCGGAACACAGGUGCUGCAUGGCUGUCGUCAGCUCGUGUCGUGAGAUGUUGGGUUAAGUCCCGCAACGAGCGCAACCCUUGUCAUUAGUUGCCAUCAUUUGGUUGGGCACUCUAAUGAGACUGCCGGUGACAAACCGGAGGAAGGUGGGGAUGACGUCAAGUCCUCAUGGCCCUUAUGGGUAGGGCUUCACACGUCAUACAAUGGUCGGUACAGAGGGUUGCCAACCCGCGAGGGGGAGCUAAUCCCACAAAGCCGACUCGUAGUCCGGAUCGCAGUCUGCAACUCGACUGCGUGAAGUCGGAAUCGCUAGUAAUCGUGGAUCAGCAUGUCACGGUGAAUACGUUCCCGGGUCUU